GCCUGAGUGGCGGAAUUGGUAGACGCGCACGACUCAAAAUCGUGUGCCUUCGGGCGUGCCGGUUCGAUUCCGGCCUUAGGUA
rnacentral:tRNA from 1 species